UACGUAGGAUCCAAGCGUUGUCCGGAUUUACUGGGCGUAAAGGGUGCGCAGGCGGACUUGUUAGUCAGAGGUGAAAUCUCACGGCUCAACCGUGAAACUGCCUUUGAUACUGCAGGUCUUGAAUUGGGGAGAGAGUUGUGGAAUUCCGAGUGUAGCAGUGAAAUGUGUAGAUAUUCGGAAGAACACCAGUGGCGAAGGCAGCAACUUGGCCCCAGAUUGACGCUCAGGCACGAAGGCAUGGGGAUCAAACAGG
rnacentral:rRNA from 1 species